rnacentral:lncRNA from 1 species
AUUUUUCUUAAAGGUGUUGCAGUAUCCCCCACCCACUCACCUUUCUCUAACCUGCUCCUCCUCCCACUUUCCCCGAAAAUGUGAGUGAUCAUGUGUGAGAAGCAGCUUAGCCCAGUGUCUGCAGCAGAGCCGCAACUUGAGUGAGAGGUGAGGAGGCUUCCCUGGACGUUUUGGUGUUUCUCAAGUUACUGGGGUCCCCGUAGCAAAAGUAGCUGGGCUUGGUGGCCAGCAAGACGGGGAGCCCCGGAGCACCCAGGCUGUGUGCACCGCACCCCCGCCAGGAAGCGCUGGCCUCCCAGUGUGUGGGCUCGAGGCCCUUCGGAUGAGCCAGGGGCCAGGAUCAGGCUCCUAAAGCAGCAGAAAAAGCAGACACGUAAUUUCACUCCUUUAUCCUACCUCGCCUCCACCACCACUUUUUUUUUCCUUUUGGUAGACGGACUGUGUAAUAGGCAGGUAGCCCGGAAGCUGGAGCUGCGCUGUAGGAGUUGGGAGCGAUCCCGAGCCGGCACUGCCCUUCUGGAUUUGGGAACCGUCUGGGGGAGGAGGAGGGUCAAAGGGGCAUCCGCUUCUUUUGAACGAGGGCGCGGUUUGCUUCCCGCAGACAGCGGGCGGGGACAGCUCAGUGCGGAGGGCUCCGUGGGAUGUCUCUUGGAGCAGAAGUACUGAAGUCCUAAUAGCACCAUUUCUUCUAAGUUCCUGGACACUGAUCCGGAGGAGGAUUCUGCAGUUCAACACCAAGGUAAGGAAAGAAACAGCAUUAUUAUCGUUUUUUUGUUUUUUUUCUUUUUUUUUUUUUUUUUUUUUUUUUUAAGAUUAAGAUAUUUGUUAAGAAUUGCGGCUCUCCCCAUCUUGGAAACGGGCUCAAACUUUGACAGUGGUAGUUGCUUUUUUUGCAAAACCCCCUUCCCAUUCCGACGUGAAAGUACAGAUUAAAAAAAAAAAAGUUUGUUGAUCAAACUUACAGUUUGGUUCUUUGCAGCCAAAAACCUUUUAGCUACCCCCACGAGUUGGUUUACUCGAGCCACUUUGUUCUCACCGCCUUCGAAUUGUGCAUUUUCUCUAACCCGUCCGUUCAGGUUGGAGGGAGAGAUGGGGUUUGGGGGAUAAAAGCACAGGGAAGAGAACGUGCAGCCCAGAGCUCGCAGGGUGGCUCCCCGAAGGUUCUCUAUGGAGCUGGCUUCCUUUCCCGGCUGGGCUCCGACCGCCUCCCGGGGCGCCUGGGGCUCCCUUGGACCUUGGUGGGCGGCGCCUGGGUGCGGGCUGCUCCGGGAGCGGGGCGCUGAGCCUUAGGCCGGGGCAGGUUUAGUUUCUGGGACCCUUUCUCUUCCAGAGGCUCCUCCGCCUCCCAGGCCUGGGCUCUGGAGGGGACGGCUGCGCGCACGCCGCCCACCGGGUAGGUGCGGCGAGGGGGCCGGCGGCCUACCUCCGGGCGCCCGGCGGCCGCGGCUCCCCGCUCUCGGUACACCGGCCCAAGCUUUCCAGCAUUACCCUAGGAGCGCGUUUCCCCAAACCGAAUGGAGUUUGGCCCUCUGGCGCCGCCGUACAGCCAAUGCUUCUUAAGGGGGACCGGCGGCGCAGGCGGCGCGAUGGUGGGGAGUCCGCCGGGUGCGGGGGUUUAGGGGAGAGACACCCGGUGCGCGGUGGGGACUGGAGGCGCCGCCAGCAGAGGGGCUUCGCCGGCCUCCAGGCGCGCGGGGACGCGGCCUCAUUUUCCCGCCACAGGUCAGGACCGCGAGUGUGAGCCGGCGCCCCGGGCGCCUCGCGGGGGCCGCGGCCCCUGCCCACGUGCUUUUCUUUAAGGAGGUCCGGCGCCCUAGCGGGGACCUCAGGGACAAAAGCGCGGCCGCAGCUCGGCCUGCUCGGC